rnacentral:rRNA from 1 species
GAUGAACGCUAGCGGCAGGCCUAACACAUGCAAGUCGAGGGGUAGCAGGAUUAAGCUUGCUUAAUUGCUGACGACCGGCGCACGGGUGCGUAACGCGUAUGCAACCUACCUUAUACUGGGGUAUAGCCCGGAGAAAUUCGGAUUAAUCCCCCAUAGUACUAAUGAAUCGCAUGGUUUAUUAGUUAAAGCAUUGCGGUAUAAGAUGGGCAUGCGUCCUAUUAGCUAGAUGGUGAGGUAACAGCUCACCAUGGCUACGAUAGGUAGGGGGCCUGAGAGGGUGGUCCCCCGCACUGGUACUGGGACACGGACCAGACUCCUACGGGAGGCAGCAGUGAGGAAUAUUGGUCAAUGGGCGCAAGCCUGAACCAGCCAUGCCGCGUGCAGGAAGAAUGCCCUAUGGGUUGUAAACUGCUUUUAUUUGGGAAUAAACCUCUUUACGUGUAGAGAGCUGAAGGUACCAAAUGAAUAAGCACCAGCUAGCUCCGUGCCAGCCGCCGCAGUAA